rnacentral:rRNA from 1 species
CGACGUCAAGUCAUCAUGGCCCUUACGAGUAGGGCUACACACGUGCUACAAUGGCGUAUACAGAGGGCUGCCAACUCGCGAGAGUGAGCGAAUCCCAGAAAGUACGUCGUAGUCCGGAUUGGAGUCUGCAACUCGACUCCAUGAAGUCGGAAUCGCUAGUAAUCGUGAAUCAGAAUGUCACGGUGAAUACG